rnacentral:rRNA from 1 species
GACAGAGGGUGCGAACGUUGCUCGGAAUCAUUGGGCGUAAAGCGCGUGUAGGCGGCAUGGCAUGUCGGGUGUGAAAGCCCGGGGCUCAACCCCCGGCAGUGCACCCGAAACGACGAUGCUAGAGUGCUGGAGAGGCGGGUGGAAUUCCCGGUGUAGAGGUGAAAUUCGUAGAUAUCGGGAGGAACACCGGUGGCGAAGGCGGCCCGCUGGCCAGCGACUGACGCUGAGACGCGAAAGCGUGGGGAGCAAACAGGG